GACGAACGCUGGCGGCGUGCUUAACACAUGCAAGUCGAACGGAAAGGCCCUGCUUUUGUGGGGUGCUCGAGUGGCGAACGGGUGAGUAACACGUGAGUAACCUGCCCUUGACUUUGGGAUAACUUCAGGAAACUGGGGCUAAUACCGGAUAGGAGCUCCUGCUGCAUGGUGGGGGUUGGAAAGUUUCGGCGGUUGGGGAUGGACUCGCGGCUUAUCAGCUUGUUGGUGGGGUAGUGGCUUACCAAGGCUUUGACGGGUAGCCGGCCUGAGAGGGUGACCGGCCAAAUUGGGAAUGGGAUACGGCCCCGACUCCUACGGGAGGCAGCAGUGGGGAAUAUUGCACAAUGGGCGGAAGCCUGAUGCAGCAACGCCGCGUGCGGGAUGACGGCCUUCGGGUUGUAAACCGCUUUCGCCUGUGACGAAGCGUGAGUGACGGUAAUGGGUAAAGAAGCACCGGCUAACUACGUG
rnacentral:rRNA from 1 species